AUGACUUGCAUCGCUCGUUCCGAUCGUGCAAGCCAUUAUUAUAAAUUCUGCUUUUUUUAUUGUCAAAUUUAUCUUAAUGAUGUUCUUUGUUCAUGGACGACUGGCCUGCAAAAACUCACUCCGACACCUCCUGCGUGGCUUCCCCUGCGCCUCUCGUGGCCACUUUUCUCUGACUCCGGCAUAGACCUCAAUGACACUCUACCUGAGCCGGUGGCCCUCGGCAUCGACCUCGGUGUCAUGAAGAACAUCCAAGAUUAUAUGGUCGAGAAGCUCAGCGUCGACAAGAGCAUCAUCCUAGAGCUCUGCAUCAUCCUCUACAAGCAAGUACCGAACCACCAUGGCCAUGCCACUGUCUUGACCAUGUGUCUGUUGUGGUCCUUGAUGCAGGCCAUUGUGCACCAAUUUGACGACGAUGAUUUCCACAGUUCAGAGCGCCCCAACUGCCUCUCCUUCGACCGUGGUUCAGGUAGUGGCUCGGUCUCCACUGUACUCUAUCCCUUGCUCUGUGGCGCCUGGCCAUUGUGCUUAGUCCAUGCUGUGAUCCUUGUUGUCGAGCCUUGGUUCUCUAGUGUAGUGUUUGGCCUGUGGGGUGGACUGGGCAACAAUUCUGAGAUUUGUGGUGUCUUUUGGACCGAUAUAAAACACUUAGCUUGUGAACUUGCGUUGAUUUCUGAACCUAUGGAGAGCAUGUCUAAAGAAAAGAAAAACCUGGAUAAUCAUGGUUGUUACAGGCCUAGGGAAAUUGAUACACUCAUGGGCCACCUGAUGUUGGUUGUCAAGCUUGUUUGCUGCGACCAUCAGCCGAUGUAUCCUUCAUCAGUGCACGGCCAUGGCGAUGAAAUGCUGCGUUGA
rnacentral:rRNA from 1 species